rnacentral:lncRNA from 1 species
AAAUAUAAAAAACUAAAAUAUUAUUAACUUAAUAAAAUCAUCCACUACAUAAUCAUUUAAUCAAAGUAUAUAUCUACAUAUAUAAAAAUAGUACACUUCAUAAAUUCGUCCCUUGUCUUCCGUAAACGUAACACGAAAAUUUGAUACCAAGUAUUGUAAGGCAGGUCGUAGAAGCAAUCUUCCUGCACAUAUUUAAAAAUAAUAGCAAGUCAGGAAAAUGAAGCAAAUAGAUCAUCAGAGACAUUUAAUGUCAAAAUCAAUACACAAAGACAAUAGAGUUACUACGUGGUACUAAUAUUAUUAAACCAACAGACUACCCACAAUAAUUACUAAAUGGUUGAGCAUAUAGAAAGAUUCCAGAGUCCUUCAACUGACUAAAUAAACUGCCUUAAACAAGAUAACAUGAAGUACAUACUAGUUUGACAAACAUACACAAGAUGGUACCAUAUGCAAUGUGCAUGUAUAAGAUUACAACAACUAUGACAAAGAUACACCUGCUCUAUGUGUCCAACUUUGAAGUAACUUUUAUGUGAAAAAAAAAAACUAAAUCUUCUAUUACACUUGGCACACAGUUCUGUAUGCCUAUUUACACGGUCCUUGAUUUUUUUUUGACAAACUCAAAAUUACUAAAUCUAGACAAACAUCAUGCAAUUUGAUACACAGUUGACGACGAAAAACUCACAACUCUAGAAGUGUACAGGCGUGUGGGGGCAUAAAACACUUGCUCUUACCAAUAUCAUUACCAUCUACCUUGAGUUGUAGAAACUAAGAUUAAGAGAGAAGAAAAAUUGUUAUAAGUUACUACGGAAGUUUCUAUGAACCCGCAACAGGAGUUCAACAAUUUGUUAGUAAGUAGUAACUACUUUACACCAACCAUGUAUAAGAAAUGAAUGUCAAAACUGAAAUAUUAAAACGUAUGCACAAUCAGAAGUUUACAUACUUUGUCAUUUUCAUGAAACUGGAACAAAGGAACCGCAAGCAAUUUUUGGUUUUUCGGUACAAUGAACUUUCUACUUUCUGNNNNNNNNNNNNNNNNNNNNNNNNNNNNNNNNNNNNNNNNNNNNNNNN